CGUAUCCAAAAAUUACUGAAGGGUUUAAAGUUGGGUUAUUAAUUAAUCUUACAUCUCCACCUCCUGGUGCCCAUGUAUCAUAAACACCACCAAAGAAAAGAGCUUUGAUAACUAAUAGAAAAGAUCCUAUGCCGAGAAGUAAUAAAUGAAUGCCCAGUAUAGUUGUCAUCUUAUUUUUAUCUCUCCA
rnacentral:antisense_RNA from 1 species